rnacentral:tRNA from 1 species
GGUAGCAUGGCCGAGUUGGUCUAAGGCGUUGGAUUUAAGUAAAUCUUGAACUUGAAUCCCAAUGGGAGCAAUCCCGCGUGAGUUCGAACCUCACUGCUACCA